CCUACGGGGGGCAGCAGUGAGGAAUAUUGGUCAAUGGGCGGGAGCCUGAACCAGCCAAGUCGCGUGAGGGAAGACGGUCCUAUGGAUUGUAAACCUCUUUAGGCGGGGAGCAAUGCCGGGCACGUGUGCCCGGAGGGAGAGUCCCCGCAGAAUAAGCCUCGGCUAACUCGGUGCCAGCAGCCGCGGUAAUACGGAGGAUGCGGGCGUUAUCCGGCUUUAUUGGGUUUAAAGGGUGCGUAGGCGGAUUUUUAAGUCAGCGGUAAAAUGUCCGGGCUCAACCCGGGCCGGCCGUUGAAACUGGGGAGCUUGAGUGGGCGAGAAGUAUGCGGAAUGCGUGGUGUAGCGGUGAAAUGCAUAGAUAUCACGCAGAACUCCGAUUGCGAAGGCAGCAUACCGGAGCCCGACUGACGCUGAGGCACGAAAGCGUGGGGAUCGAACAGGAUUAGAUACCCGGGUAGUC
rnacentral:rRNA from 1 species